GCUUGUUUUAAAAAAUACAAGUAAUAUGAUUAUUGUGGCAGAUGUUUGUGUAUAUAGCACAUUUUAUGUUUAGGUUUUCAAUUUAUCACAAACUGUUUCUGCAUAUUGGUUAUUGAUUUAGACACGUUAAACAUGUGUUUUGACAUUGGGGCUAUCCCACCGAGCAAAAUAAAAUUGAAAAGCUGUUGAAAAUAAGACUUAUGCAAUUAAAUAUUUCAUAUUUACAUUUCAUGUAACAUUUAGUAAUGAUAAUUAUUUAUGCAACCAACUGACAAUUUUUUGUACAAUUAUAUUGACAUUGUUGCCCUGCUUUUAGAAUAUCAGGGUUAAUUCUCAGAUGUGCCAACCCAAAUGUACUAAAGCAUGACAUUGGGGACUGGGCCCCGAUCCAACAACAUGCCUAUCUACUGAACCCUGAAAAGAGAAAGAGGCUCCGCAGUGAGGUGGAAAGUUACUACAGAUAUUGCAGGAGUUUCCUCUUGAAAUCAGACAUAUCCGUGGUGAGAACAACCUGGUUGCUGAUUGUCUCAAGGGUGGGCAGUCAAAAAUAUUUGUGUUUUGCAUUUAGCCAGUGCAUUGCCAUUUAUUUUGACUGCAGAUAAUUCAAGGUUAGUGAUUCAUUUUAUCUUUAUUUCUGCUUUUUGUGAAUGCUAUAUUUUGCUGGAAAAUGGCUGUGCUUAUUGUGGUUUGGUGGAGACCUAACAUAAUCGUUUGUAAGUGCUUUCGCUGAAAAGCCUAUUUGAAAUCAGACACUUUGGUGGGAUUAACAACAAGAUUACCUUUAAAAUGAUUUAAGACACAUGUAUGUUUUAGGAAUUGGAAUUAUGAGAUUUCUGUGGUUUGAAUUUGGCGCCCUCUAUUUUCACUGGUAGUUGUCAUAUUGAUCCCGGUUAUGGGAUUGCAGCCAUAACAAGUUAAGACAUAGUAUAAGAUAGUAAGGUGCACCUGUAAUUAUUUUAAACCUGGACCCCAUUUUAGAAGUAUUGAAAGAUAUAAAUGUAGGAUUACAUUAUCCUAGGAACGUACCACGAGAUAGAAAUGUGGAAAUAUUCCCACAGGUAAAGAAAUGGUUGAAAAACAACUAAUUGAUUAGGUAUGUUUGAGAAAAGCAUUGUGUCACUGUGGAAAUGAGUCUUAAUCUGAUGUUUGGAUAGUAACAUAUAGAAAUAUGCUUAAUCAGAUGAUUGAAAUUUGGAUAAUGAGCGGGAUGAUAUUUUAGAAAGCAGCGGAAGAUCUAAAGUUCCUGGGAAGCUUGAUUUUGCCGUGGUCUCUGGGAAGUUAGAGAACGGUUGAGGAUCCCAUGGUCAUUGUUCAGGAAACAAAAGUUUAUUUCUUGUUCUGCAGAGAGUAUGUUUGGAGAGUCCUUGAAAAAGCAAAUGGAAUGGUUGUCGGAAAAUAAAAAAAUCCAGCACUAGCAGAGCCCCAAGUCCCAUGGGGACGUCCUCGAGGGCGUGGAUGUUCUCCCCAUCAAAGGCCAGCGGGAUUUCACUCUCAUGGUGAAAUGGAUUUCCGCCGAUGUGCAGUAAAGAAUUGAAGAGCGGUGAAAUCUGUGUCAACAAAACCUUCUUGUCCUCUGAAGACCCAGUGAGGGUGGAGCUCAGUCAGAGAGCUGUUGAGGGACUGGUUAGGAAGAACACUUCUACAGCCAGAGAGGGGCAGUCAAUAAAUGGAAUGGCAAGGCCACAGAACAUGACAUAAGCAGAGCUGUGGGAGAUCACCUCAAGCCCCUGGUAGAGCCGGGGGUGGUGUUUACCACUCCUUCAACAGGCUUGAAAACACAUUUCAGACAUGGAUGCAACCCAAUGGAAACAGGAAAACAAAAACCCACACCAAACUUAGACAGGAAGCAAGCCAAAAAGGUGGCGACUCUCCACAUCUAUCAAGACAACUGGAGCACUGGGCCAGACACUCUUAAAUAGAACCUGGACCAGCUCAGGUGAAACACCUUCCCACUAACGAGAUGGACAAGCCAGCACAGG